CAUUAGAGCACCCCCAGCAGAACAAUUUGUGAGCGUUCCUUCUGGAGUGAAAUUUCCAGUGAGUCCUAAACAACCUGUCCAGUUCUGUACCACCAAGCUCUCGGAAAAGCUUUAUAAGCCAAGUCCAUCAUUUGACCUUGAGGAUCCAUAUUGUCGUUUGAUGAGGACAACCUACAAUAACCUGCAUGACCCAUGCUUAAAAGAAUAUUACCAGAGUAAAAUCCCUCGACAACGGAUACGUCAGCAGGGAUUUAUCACCAGCGAUGAUAAGGUUGUUUGCUCUUUAAAAGAGUACAACGAGUACAGGGAGUACCUCUCAAGCAUACAUAGAAAGAAAAUGAAAAAAGUAAGUUGGAUUCAGAU